UGCCUUUUUACGUGAGACUGGGGUUCUUCCAAAGCGCUAGCUCCUUGUGUUUAUAAGAAGGUCAUGAUGCAUGGUUCUGUUAUAUCCCAUAUAUUACCCCUUCAUUGUCCUAAGGAAGACAUUUUCUCUUAGAGAUUUUCAUUUUAGUGUAUCUUUAAAAAAUCUUGUGUUAAGUUGCCUCCAUCGUUUUUUUGGGGGUUUGGACAACCCAGGAAUGGCCCUUUUGUGUCUAUGAUGUUGCUGUUCACCGCUUUUCUUGAUAGGCCUAGUACAAUCUUGGGAACAGGGUUGCUGUGUGCUGAAGGUUGGACAGUAGCUCUUAGCCUUGCCUAUCUUAGGUAGUUAUGCUGUGCAUUUUUUUUUUUAUUGGUGUACCACGUUUGCUUUGUCCCUGAUAUCUUUGGAGUUUUUCUGAAAAAUGGAGCAGUAAUACAGCAUCAACUUAUUAAAAUACGUUUUAAGCCUUU